UGGCCGUCUUGCUGGGCAGCGACCGAUCGAUAAACAACGUCGAUUCCAUUCUCCUUAAGCGUUUGAGUGGCAAGCAGCGCGAUCGCGCUUCUCCGGUGCACUGGCUAAAAGUGUCACUCUAUCGAAAUGGAAAAGUAGGAUCCGAAGAAAAUAUCGAAUUAAAUCUUUUCCUAUGCCGCUCUGUUCGUAAGAUAAUUAAACCUGUAAACGUUCAUACAUCAUACACAAGCAUUUGUCUUCACACUAAGUAGAAACUGACAGCGACGAAUGGUUAAGGACAGAGAGUAUCAGAAAAGGACAAUCGAUACCGCGUUCCUCUACUCUCUCAUGCAAGAUUCAACAGCGAUUUACAAGAAAAUUAUUCAUUUUUUACCCAUGGUUUCCUUGGGACUACGUGUCUUCACGUUUCCAACAGUUGCACACGGUCAUCCGCAUUCGUCGCAUGAUCCAGACUCGAGAUUUCUGCGUGCCAGUUUCUGCCAUUGACUCACAGAACAAUGCUGCUGUACCUUACCGUUGGCAGAGACUCACACCAUAGUCAAGAUAUAUUUUGACCAUUCUUUUAAUUAAAUUUUUCUUUACGCUUCGGCUUAGAGUAGAAUCUCUGCGAU